CCUACGGGAGGCUGCAGUAACGAAUCUUCCACAAUGCGCGAAAGCGUGAUGGAGCAAUGCCGCGUGCAGGAUGAAGCUUCUCGGAGUGUAAACUGCUGUCAGGGGCCACCAACUCAAUGAGGAGCCCCAAAGGAAGGGCCGGCUAACUUCGUGCCAGCAGCCGCGGUAAUACGAAGGGCCCGAGCGUUAUGCGGAAUCACUGGGCUUAAAGCGUACGUAGGCGGGCGCGCAGGCGUUUUGUGAAAGCCCUCUGCUCAACAGAGGAACUGCUUGACGAACCGCGCGUCUUGAGGCAGGUAGGGGUGGUCGGAACGAUCGGUGGAGUGGUGAAAUGCGUUGAUAUCGAUCGGAACGCCAAAGGAGAAAUCAGGCCGCUGGGCCUGUCCUGACGCUGAGGUACGAAAGCGUGGGGAGCGAACGGGAUUAGAUACCCGAGUAGU
rnacentral:rRNA from 1 species